AUGUAGAGGAAAGUGGCGGACGGGUGAGUAACGCGUGAGGAACCUGCCUUGAAGAGGGGGACAACAGUUGGAAACGACUGCUAAUACCGCAUAACGCAUAGGGGUCGCAUGAUCUUUAUGCCAAAGAUUUAUUGCUUCAAGAUGGCCUCGCGUCUGAUUAGCUAGUUGGCGGGGUAACGGCCCACCAAGGCGACGAUCAGUAGCCGGACUGAGAGGUUGAACGGCCACAUUGGGACUGAGAUACGGCCCAGACUCCUACGGGAGGCAGCAGUGGGGAAUAUUGGGCAAUGGGCGCAAGCCUGACCCAGCAACGCCGCGUGAAGGAAGAAGGCUUUCGGGUUGUAAACUUCUUUUAAGAGGGAAGAGUAGAAGACGGUACCUCUAGAAUAAGCCACGGCUAACUACGUGCCAGCAGCCGCGGUAAUACGUAGGUGGCAAGCGUUGUCCGGAUUUACUGGGUGUAAAGGGCGUGCAGCCGGGUCUGCAAGUCAGAUGUGAAAUCCAUGGGCUCAACCCAUGAACUGCAUUUGAAACUGUAGAUCUUGAGUGUCGGAGGGGCAAUCGGAAUUCCUAGUGUAGCGGUGAAAUGCGUAGAUAUUAGGAGGAACACCAGUGGCGAAGGCGGAUUGCUGGACGAUAACUGACGGUGAGGCGCGAAAGUGUGGGGAGCAAACAGGAUUAGAUACCCUGGUAGUCCACACUGUAAACGAUGAAUACUAGGUGUGCGGGGACUGACCCCCUGCGUGCCGCAGUAA
rnacentral:rRNA from 1 species